GACGAACGCUGGCGGCGUGCUUAACACAUGCAAGUCGAACGCUGAAGCCCCAGCUUGCUGGGGUGGAUGAGUGGCGAACGGGUGAGUAACACGUGAGUAACCUGCCCAUCACUCUGGGAUAAGCGCUGGAAACGGCGUCUAAUACUGGAUACGAGCAGCGACCGCAUGGUCAGCUGCUGGAAGGACUGGUUCGGUGAUGGAUGGACUCGCGGCCUAUCAGGUUGUUGGUGAUGUAAUGGCUCACCAAGGCGACGACGGGUAGCCGGCCUGAGAGGGUGACCGGCCACACUGGGACUGAGACACGGCCCAGACUCCUACGGGAGGCAGCAGUGGGGAAUAUUGCACAAUGGGCGCAAGCCUGAUGCAGCGACGCCGCGUGAGGGAUGACGGCCUUCGGGUUGUAAACCUCUUUUAGUAGGGAAGAAGCCUUCGGGUGACGGUACCUGCAGAAAAAGCACCGGCUAACUACGUGCCAGCCGCCGCGGUAA
rnacentral:rRNA from 1 species